rnacentral:lncRNA from 1 species
GUCGGGACUACUCCCCAGAACCACGAGUAGGCCUUGGACGACCCACUAUGGGAUGUACUCGGACGUGAUCAGAACAAGGAUGGGCGUAUCCUACUCGGACUAGUCUUGUAUGUUUAUGGAAAACUACUCGGGUUGGCUCCGAGUAGAACUCUGUAAUAGUACCCGACUAGGACUCAGACUUGUAACCCUACCCUCCCGGGUAUAUAAGGCCGGGCAGGGACCCCCCUCAAAGCAGAUCCCCAAGAUCAAUACAAACCAACACACAGGACGUAGGGUAUUACGUGAUCUAGCGGCCCGAACCUGUGUAAAUCGUGUUCCUUGCGUCACCAUUGAUUCCUUGAUUCUCGACGACCCUUACCGCAUAAAAGACCACCUAGGGUACCCCUAGG